UACGUAGGGGGCAAGCGUUGUCCGGAUUUAUUGGGUUUAAAGGGUGCGUAGGCGGCUUUGUAAGUCAGUGGUGAAAUAUGGCAGCUCAACUGUCAGGGUGCCAUUGAUACUGCGGAGCUUGAGUACAGAUGAGGUAGGCGGAAUUGACGGUGUAGCGGUGAAAUGCUUAGAUAUCGUCAAGAACACCGAUAGCGAAGGCAGCUUACUGGGCUGUAACUGACGCUGAGGCACGAAAGUGUGGGGAUCAAACAGG
rnacentral:rRNA from 1 species